GCUGCACCAUUUCACAUUCCCGCCAACAGUGCACGAGGGUUCCAAGCGCUCCACGACGCUCGCUCGUUGCCUUUGUGUUUUGUUUCUAUAGCAGCCAUCCCAACGGGUGAGGUGAGCACCGCUUCGUGGAUUUAUCAGCUACUUGUGUGUCUUCUUUGGAUAAAUGUUGAUUCAAGUCCUUUGGCCAUUUUUGAAUCAGGGUUUUUUUUGUUUGUUUUUUUUUUUUUUUUUUGAGUUUUAGGAGUUCUCUAUAGAUUCUGGUUUUUAACCCCUUACUAGAUGCAUGAUUUGUAAAUAUUUUCCCCAUUGUGUGCUCUGCCGUUUUACUCUUAAUGUCAUUUGAUGGACGAAAUGUUUUUGUUUCCACGCAGUCCCGCUGUCUGCUUUUUCUGUUGUCGCCUGGGCCUUUGGUGUCACCUUCAAGAAGUCACUGCCAAAUCCAACAUCGUGGCAGUUUUCCCUGUGUUUCCUUAUGAGAGGUUUAGGUCUCACAUUUAGGUCUUUGAUGUACUUUGCACUGAUUUUUGUCAGCUGUAAAGUAGGGGCCAAUUUCAUUCCUUUGCGUGUGGAUGUCCUGUUUCCCAGCACCAUCGGUGGAAGCGGCUGUCUUUUCCCAUUGAGGAGUCCUGCCAUCCUGGCACCUGUGCCAAAGCCCAUUCGACCUUGAGUUUGAGGGUUUAUUUCUGGGUCCUCGCCUCUGUUCCCUUGGUCCAUACACCACCUUUAUAUCAGGACGGUGAUGCUUUCAUUCCUGUGGCUUGGCAGUAAAAUUUUGAAUCAGGAAAUGUGAGUCUCCAGCUUCGUUCUUUUUAGGAUUGUUUUGGGUAAUCAGGAACCCUUGAGAUUCCAUGUGAAUUUAGGGUGGGUUUUUCUGUUUCUCUGAGAAAUAUCCUUGAGAUUCUCCCAGGAAGAUAUAUUGUUUUGAGGGCUUUAAAACUCCCUAUAAAUAUUGCUGUACUUUGGGGGCCCUUUUCUUCCCACACUGUGUUUUUGAGAUUUACCCAUGCUGUUGUGAGUACCUCGCUGAAUGCAGCACAUACUGCAUCAUACAAGUGCAUCCUGAUCCAUUUCCCCUGACGGACGUGUUCAUUUUUUGUUAUGGCAAUGCUGCAAUACACGUUUUUAGCUGUGCCUCUUUGUGCUUGAAUGUGAGGGGUUUUCUAAGGUGUGAACCUCAGAACAGAGUCGCCAGGCCAUAGGGUGUGCACAGCCUCCGUCUGUCCUGGGCGGCCCCACGCGGGCUCCACACUGGUUUCCGUCUGUCCUGGGCAGCACCACGGUGGCUCCACACUGGUUUCCACACUGGUUUCCGUCUGUCCUGGGCGGCCCCGCGCGGGCCCCACACUGGUUGUGCGUUUCUCAGGCCACCAGCAGCGUCCAAGAGCUCUGGCCGAUCUGCCUCCCUCCCUGCGUCUCGGCAUCUUUGUCUGGCACUGCUGAUGGUUUUGCCUAAACGGCUCUUUGCUGUGGGGCAUCCUGUGCACCGUGGGACGUCUUGUGCACUGUGGGGUGUUGAGCCGCAUCCGUGGUCUCCACCCACAGAUGACAACGACACCCCCAGCUAUGAAACCAGAAAUGACUCCACACAUUGCCAAAUGUCCCCCAGGGCAAAGUCACCCACUUGGGCGUUAUGUUACCCACUGAUGAUCUGAAUUUUUGUCCAUUUCACCUGUCUGAGUUUGUGUGUCUCUGAGCACUGGUGGGACUGAGCGUGUCCGUGGCUUGUGGCCACUCCUGCUUCCUGUUUGUGAAUUUUAUGUUCAUAACGUCUGCCCCUUUCUUUGGGUUUUUCACUUUAUUCUUAUUAUUUUGUAAAUUCCUUAAGUAUUCUGGAUACUUACCUUUUGUUAUUCUAUUCUAGUAGUCACUGUCCCCAAAACAAUGUUCAUAAAUUUGUUCUUAUAAAGAUGAGAAAUAAAAAACAUUGAAUUUUAGAGCUGCAUACAUUUUUUUAAAACAUGGGCUUUAAGAACCUUUGGUCUAUUUGAUCUUUCACUUUCUUUUCAUCUGAAAUAAGAAAAGAUCAUUUUUAAACAUUUCUUGCAGCCUUGGCAUUCAUUAUUAUUUUUUUUUUACUGCUAAUUAGAAAUUGUCAGCAAGACUGGAUGAAAGCAACAAUAGUUUUGAGAAAAACUAUCUCAAAAGCAGAUGUUAUCAAGAUAAACACGACACACAAUAGAAAAAUGAGACCCCGGGACAAAUCACUACAACAUCAAAAUUCAAGACUGAGGAAAAGUCACAGCCUCCCUUAUUCAUUUAUCCCACAAAGUUUUCCUCUCCUGAGCACAAAGGUUUCAGUGGGACUCGCAGCCCUGCCAGUCGGAGAGUAGAGCCUGUGUCCUGGGGAAGCAGAGACGCAGCUCGAGUCUAUUCCGGCUGUGGUGCUUUGGGAGUUCUAAGCAGCAUAGGAUGUCUGACCCAGCCCUGGAAGGACAGGAAGCACCUUUGGGAAAAGAGGAGGGUUUGCGUUCCAGAGCGGAGAAUGGGCUUUAAAUCUUCCUCUAGAAACAAGUACAGCAUUGACUGAGCAAAGGCCUGGGGCGGGGGUCGGGGGGCGGCACCUGCAAACCUUCACAUCACCCCACCAGGUCAUCCUAGAAAAUUAGUCAGUGCCUGUAAACAUGGCAGUUCUCGGGAAGCUGAGAACGUUCCAGAGACGAUGGUGUGGACGGCUGCACCAGUGUGAAGCGCUCAGUGCCGCUGAACAGCACACUGAAAAAGGGCUCUGGUGGUAAAUUUUAUGUUGUGUAUAUUUUACCACGAUGUAAACAAACAAACAAAAAACUCUCGGCAUUGCCCCCACUCCCUGGCAGUGUCUAUUGUGGGAGGAGAGACCGAAAUUCUCAGGACACACCCAGGCCUCAAGACUUCUCGCCCAAUCCGUCACCACUUCCUGGCGCAGACAUCGGACUGUUAAGGCCCCUCCACUUCCCGCUCAGGUUACAGACCCCAGGGCACAUCCCCCCAUCCUCACCCGCCUGCAUGACCAGGCUGCCCCCUGCCCCGCACACCUCUCUCUGAGUAGCCUCCUGUCUUCCCUCUGGCAGCUGAGUCAGCUUCACCACCUCACUGGGUCUGGAACAGCCAACUCCUGACACUUUCACACUCACAGAGGUGGAGCAGGGGCACGGGGGCUGGGCACCACCAGUGUGUGGGCAGCACCCAGGCAUUAAACACAGCAGAGGAUGGCGCAGGCACCCCUGUUCUCCUCCCAGAGCCAAGCUUCAGGCCAUGUCCAGCGGGGGAGGCUGUGAGUCACCUCUGCCUCAUGUGGGUGAUCAUAGGAGGGUGUGAGUCAGCUCUGUCCACAUGGUUGCUCAUGGGAGGGUAUGAGUCAGCUCUGUCAAUGUGGGUGGUGGGUGGUCACGGGAGGGUGUGAGUCAGCUCUGUCCACGUGGUUGCUCAUAGGAGGUUGUGAGUCAGCUCUGUCCAUGUGGGGUGCUCACAGGAGGGUGUGUGUCAGCUCUGUCUGUGUGGGUGGUCACGGGAGGGUGUGAGUCAGCUCUGUCUGUGGGUGGUCACAGGAGGGUGUGAGUCAGCUCUGUCUGAGUGGGUGGUCACGGGAGGGUGUGUGUCAGCUCUGUCUGUGUGGGUGGUCACGGGAGGGUGUGUGUCAGCUCUGUCCGUGUGGGUGCUCACGGGAGGGUGUGAGUCAGCUCUGUCUGUGUGGGUGGUCACAGGAGGGUGUGUGUCAGCUCUGUCCGUGUGGGUGCUCACGGGAGGGUGUGAGUCAGCUCUGUCUGUGUGGGUGGUCACAGGAGGGUGUGUGUCAGCUCUGUCUGUGUGGGUGCUCACGGGAGGGUGUGAGUCAGCUCUGUCUGUGUGGGUGGUCACAGAAGGGUGUGUGUCAGCUCUGUGUGGGUGCUCACGGGAGGGUGUGAGUCAGCUCUGUCUGUGUGGGUGGUCACAGGAGGGUGUGUGUCAGCUCUGUCUGUCUGGGUGCUCACGGGAGGGUGUGAGUCAUCUCUGUCUGUGUGGGUGGUCACAGGAGGG
rnacentral:lncRNA from 1 species